rnacentral:misc_RNA from 1 species
GAUCACCUCCACUUGUCCCA